GGGCAUAUAGCUCAGUGGUGGAGCGUGUGCUUAGCAUGCACAAGGUCCUAGGUUCAACCUCCAGUACCUCCA
rnacentral:tRNA from 1 species